UACGUAGGGUGCGAGCGUUGUCCGGAAUUAUUGGGCGUAAAGGGCUCGUAGGCGGUUUGUCGCGUCGGGAGUGAAAACCAGGUGCUUAACACCUGGCUUGCUUUCGAUACGGGCAGACUAGAGGUAUUCAGGGGAGAACGGAAUUCCUGGUGUAGCGGUGAAAUGCGCAGAUAUCAGGAGGAACACCCGGUGGCGAAGGCGGUUCUCUGGGAAUGACCUGACGCUGAGGAGCGAAAGUGUGGGGAGCGAACAGG
rnacentral:rRNA from 1 species